GACGAACCGUGCGAACGUUGUUCGGAAUCACUGGGCUUAAAGGGCGCGUAGGCGGGCCGCAAAGUCAGGGGUGAAAUCCUCCAGCUUAACUGGAGAACUGCCUUUGAUACUGGCGGCCUGGAGUAAGGUAGGGGCAUGCGGAACUGAUGGUGGAGCGGUGAAAUGUGUUGAUAUCAUCAGGAACUCCGGUGGCGAAAGCGGCGUGCUGGACUUUACUGACGCUGAGGCGCGAAAGCCAGGGGAGCAAACGGG
rnacentral:rRNA from 1 species